UGACAACCUUCUGUGGUAAGGGGUGAACAUCCUUGGGAAGCCACAGAGAGCAAGGCGCAGUUUUUCAUUGAUCACCACUUUCAAGAUGCUCCCAGAAUCGUGCUGUCUAGGAAGCCAUUUAAACUGGUGAGAAGCCAUCCUCUCUUGAAUGGGGGCUCCCACUGUACAUCUGGCACCCACUUCACAGAUUCUGGGGGAUGUCAACACCAGCACUGCUGAGCUGUGUGACCUUGAGCAAGACAGUUAGCCUCUCUGAACCUCAGUGUCCUUCUCUGUAGGCUGGAGAUUGAUAUACCUUCAUUAUCGGGGUAUGAGAGUGUUAUAAAUCCAUGAACUGGAAGAUGCUUUCUUAUAACUCAGAGAAAAGAGAUGAAAAUGAAUCAAAGAACAGGAAGGAGACAAGCUCAGGAGAGUCACCCUAAGAAGGAUGUGUGGAAGACUUGACUGGAGGAUCAAAAUGUGUCGGGGGAAGGUGUACAAGGAGGAGUAAGGACACAGAUGUCCUGACUUCACACAGUGGGGGAUUAGAAGCCACCAUCAAACACAGAUGAAACAGGAAUAAAAGUAGUAGUACAUUACUUAAGCUUUAAAAGGGUAAGACUCCUGGGAAUUUGGAAGCUGAGACUUGAGGCAAGUAUUUAGGAUUUGCUGUCUCACCUCCCUGCUAUGACAGUCCUUAAUUAAUGGAGAUGAUGGAGAACAGCUUGCUGGGCUGAGUGGCAGGAGCCAUGCAGCUGCUGGGGCUGGAGUGGGUCAGGAAGCUUCAUCAAUCUGGGACACAUGACGUGCUUGGUGGUGGCGGAGCCUGACGCAUCCCUCUUCAUCGACAUUGUGUCAAUAGGAGCAGAGGCAUUUAGCUGUGUAAACACAGAGCUUCAGUGGCAGCACCCUAAAUGCUUAGCUGAUAGAUCCGGAAUUAAAUACAGACCUAGAAACUGGAGUUGGAAAACUUCCUGGCAGCACUCCUUCCCUGCCAUCCCGGUGAUCCCCUUCUGGAUGGAGGGUGUGGAGCUCAGCACAUUCACGUCUGCAGUUCUCAGAGAACCAAGUGUUAAGGAAUGUCAGGGAAGGAAGAAGGCAGCCAGCCAGGAAGGGGAGGUCCUGGCCUGAGCACGCCAGGCACAGAGGGAUAGAGGGUAGGGAGGAAACUGCACCUGUCUCCAACCCUCGACCCCAGCCCCGAAACACGACAUUGGCUGAAACAGAUUAAAAGCAUAAAAUGGCCCAAAGAAAUGGGAGAAGGUUGGCCUCUGGUCGGGCAAACAUGAGGGCAUGAAGAUAUAUAAUGUCCCACACGGGAGGAAACCCUUGCCGGGCCCCUCAGGAUUUAUAACAAGCUCACCUGAAGGAGAAACUUCAGGGGCACUUACACCAUCAGAUACCUAGAAAGGAGCUGUCAUUUCCUCACUGAAGAGUUUGCAAGCAGAUGGAAAAUGUGUGUCUGGAUCAUCUUGUGGCCCGAAUGGGGAGAAAAGCAGCACAAGAAUGGAAUAGUACAGUGGCUACGAACACAGAAACCACACUCCAGGCCCAGUCCCCGGCAGUGGCCUCCAGGACCCACUCUGAGCUAGAUCACAUCAGUGAUGGGCUGGCCAAUCUUUAAGGAGAAUGACUCUACUCUUAGGAAGCCAGCAGGUUGGAGGAGGAAACACAUUCAAAUCCCGAGCACAAGGAGCUGGGAGAAGACCGGUUAUGGGAGCGGCAUUCCUGGAAGCUCUGAAGUCACAGCCCCACUGAUGAAAGGAUGUAAGAACCUAAGAGUGGAAACCUGCCCCUGGGAUUCAUAUGGUGUCCCCUCAGGACUCAAACCCUGGUCUGGAGGAAAGAUGAAAGAAAGAAAAUUAAGGAAAAGAGGAAAACAAGCAAAAAACUCAGCAAAGAUGUCAUUGCAUAAUAGUCCAUUAUGCCUCCAAUUGAGCCGUCAUGAACUAUCAAAGAAAUAAUUGCGCAAUAAGCCCAUAAUGGCUUAAUCGUGUCAACAUCUUUGCAUUUACAUAUUUUUUUAAUCAAUGGAAAUUAAGUACAAAAAUGAGUCUUUUGGUUUCCAUCCUGAUUUUACCUUUGUGACUGGGGGUGGGUUGAGGGUUUGGUUCUCUCUGCCACCUUCAAGGGAGGCUGCA
rnacentral:lncRNA from 1 species